GAUGAACGCUGGCGGCGUGCCUAAUACAUGCGAGUCGAGCGAACAGACGAGGAGCUUGCUCCUCUGACGUUAGCGGCGGACGGGUGAGUAACACGUGGAUAACCUACCUAUAAGACUGGGAUAACUUCGGGAAACCGGAGCUAAUACCGGAUAAUAUAUUGAACCACAUGGUUCAAUAGUGAAAGACGGUUUUGCUGUCACUUAUAGAUGGAUCCGCGCCGCAUUAGCUAGUUGGUAAGGUAACGGCUUACCAAGGCGACGAUGCGUAGCCGACCUGAGAGGGUGAUCGGCCACACUGGAACUGAGACACGGUCCAGACUCCUUCGGGAGGCAGCAGUAGGGAAUCUUCCGCAAUGGGCGAAAGCCUGACGGAGCAACGCCGCGUGAGUGAUGAAGGUCUUCGGAUCGUAAAACUCUGUUAUUAGGGAAGAACAAAUGUGUAAGUAACUAUGCACGUCUUGACGGUACCUAAUCAGAAAGCCACGGCUAACUACGUG
rnacentral:rRNA from 1 species